GUGAGGAAUAUUGCGCAAUGGGCGAAAGCCUGACGCAGCCAUGCCGCGUGAAUGAUGAAGGUCUUAGGAUUGUAAAAUUCUUUCACCGGGGACGAUAAUGACGGUACCCGGAGAAGAAGCUCCGGCUAACUUCGUGCCAGCAGCCGCGGUAAUACGAAGGGGGCUAGCGUUGCUCGGAAUUACUGGGCGUAAAGGGCGCGUAGGCGGACAGCUUAGUCAGAGGUGAAAGCCCAGGGCUCAACCUUGGAAUUGCCUUUGAUACUGGCUGUCUUGAGUUUGGGAGAGGUGAGUGGAACUCCGAGUGUAGAGGUGAAAUUCGUAGAUAUUCGGAAGAACACCAGUGGCGAAGGCGACUCACUGGCCCAAUACUGACGCUGAGGCGCGAAAGCGUGGGGAGCAAACAGGAUUAGAUACCCUAGUAGUCC
rnacentral:rRNA from 1 species